UGCAGAUAUUGGAGUUUUGAUUUCAGUGCACCAAUUUUAAUCAAAUUUGAAUUUGCAUGCAUUUAUGCUUGCAGUGUGGUCUUGAUUGUAUCAUGACUUAUACUUUAUAAAGAUAUUCUUUAUUUCAGCAAAGAUGAAGAUCACUUAAUUCAAUAUAUAUGCUGAAUAAAAUGUGUUGGUAUAUCAGCAACAUUGAAUUUGUUUAUUUUCUUGCAACGGACUCCUUGAAUGACAUGGAAGUCAUUUUCGUACAAGGGGGAGUUUGUAGUAGGGUGAAUUAACAUCAAUAAUUUAUUUUAUUUUUAGUGUAAAUAAAAUAUGUAAGUUGCAAAACAUAAACUUUUAUUGGAUUAUAUAAUGGUCUUCCAUAUUUCUCUAUUUAGAUAUGUAGUAAUGUAAUUAUGACCUUAAUGGCUUUCCUUAUGAUUAAACCAUGCAUGCAGUUGUUGUUCAUGGUCUAUUUAAUUCAUUUUGGUUGGCUAAGCUUAGUGUCAAAGGUUAUAUGUCAUGGGUUUUGUGAGUUCUGUUGGAUUUUUAGAUAGUCAGUUGUAUUCACUAGCAGAGUGUUGAAGGGUGGUUUUCUUUGCAUAUCUUUUGACAUCUUUUUUCUGACUUGAGGUAAGAAAAUGAAUCUUAACAUAUUAAUUGGUGUGAAUGUGUUAAUGAAUGAAAGAAAUGAAAUUAUGUACUUUAUUUCAUAUUUAACAAAGGAGUAAAAUAGAAUUAAUAUUUUAUACAGGUUCCUUGAAAAUCAGUUAUCUUCCUAUUUUUGAUAUUUUGGCUCUGGUACCAUAUAUCUGAGCUGCUAUUUACAUGUCAGAAAUAGAUUUAUUUCUUCAAUAAACUCAUAACCUGUAA